UACGGAGGAUGCAAGCGUUAUCCGGAAUGAUUGGGCGUAAAGCGUCCGCAGGUGGCUAUGUAAGUCUGCUGUUAAAGAGUGAGGCUCAACCUCAUAAGAGCAGUGGAAACUACAUGGCUAGAGUGCGUUCGGGGCAGAGGGAAUUCCUGGUGUAGCGGUGAAAUGCGUAGAGAUCAGGAAGAACACCGGUGGCGAAAGCGCUCUGCUAGGCCGCAACUGACACUGAGGGACGAAAGCUAGGGGAGCAAACGGG
rnacentral:rRNA from 1 species